UACGAAGGGGGCUAGCGUUGUUCGGAAUUACUGGGCGUAAAGCGCGCGUAGGCGGCUUUGUAAGUCAGAGGUGAAAGCCUGGAGCUCAACUCCAGAACUGCCUUUGAGACUGCAUCGCUAGAAUCAUAGAGAGGUUAGUGGAAUUCCGAGUGUAGAGGUGAAAUUCGUAGAUAUUCGGAAGAACACCAGUGGCGAAGGCGACUAACUGGACAUGUAUUGACGCUGAGGUGCGAAAGCGUGGGGAGCAAACAGG
rnacentral:rRNA from 1 species